rnacentral:rRNA from 1 species
AGAGUAUGAUACCGGCUCAGAGCGAACGCUGGCGGCGUGGAUUAGGCAUGCAAGUCGAACGCGCACGACGGGAGCUUGCUCCCGUACGGCGAGUGGCGAAAGGGUGAGUAACACGUGGGCAAUCUACCCCGAGGUUGGGAAUAACGUCUGGAAACGGACGCUAAUACCGAAUACCGAUACCCCCUCACAUGUGGGGAUAUCGAAAGGUCAGCCGCCUUGGGAGGGGCCCGCGUCCUAUUAGCUUGUUGGUGAGGUAACGGCUCACCAAGGCUCCGAUGGGUAGCCGGUCUGAGAGGAUGGUCGGCCACACUGGGACUGAGACACUGCCCAGACGCCUACGGGCGGCUGCAGUCGAGGAUAUUUGGCAAUGGGGGAAACCCUGACCAUGCGACGCCGCGUGGAGGAUGAAGGCUUUCGAGUUGUAAACUCCUGUGAUCGAGGAAGAACUCUCCACUUCGGUGGACUUGACGGUACUCGGUCAGAAAGGGCCAGCUAACUGCGUGCCAGCAGCUGCGGUAAUACGUGGGGCCCAAGCGUUGCUCGGAUUUACUGGGCGUAAAGGGCGUCUAGGCGGCCGGUCAAGUCGCGUGUGAAAUUUCUACGGCUCAACCGAGAAACUGCACGCGAUACUGAUCGGCUUGAAUGCGGUAGAGGGAAGCGGAAUUCAAGGUGUAGCGGUGGAAUGCGCAGAUAUCUUGGAGAACACCGAUGGCGAAGGCAGCUUCCUGGGCCUGCAUUGACGCUGAAGCGCGAAAGAUGGGGUAGCAAACAGGAUUAGAUACCCUGGUAGUCCCUUCCGUAAACGAUGAGUGCUAAGUGUGGGAACCAUCGGAGUUCCCGUGCUGCCGCUAACGCAUUAAGCACUCCGCCUGGGGAGUACGGUCGCAAGGCUAAAACUCAAGGUAAUUGACGGGGCCCCGCACAAGCGGUGGAGCAUGUCGCUCAAUUCGAAGCAACGCGAAGAACCUUACCAGGGUUUGACAUCGUCUGGACCGCUCUCGAAAGAGGGUUUUCCCUUCGGGGACCGGAUGACAGGUGCUGCAUGGCUGUCGUCAGCUCGU